UACGAAGGGGGCUAGCGUUGUUCGGAAUCACUGGGCGUAAAGCGUACGUAGGCGGAUGCUUAAGUCAGGGGUGAAAGCCUGGAGCUCAACUCCAGAACUGCCUUUGAUACUGAGCGUCUCGAGUCCGGGAGAGGUGAGUGGAACUGCUAGUGUAGAGGUGAAAUUCGUAGAUAUUAGCAAGAACACCAGUGGCGAAGGCGGCUCACUGGCCCGGUACUGACGCUGAGGUACGAAAGCGUGGGGAGCAAACAGG
rnacentral:rRNA from 1 species